CACAGGUGGAGGACAGGUCACCGCCCCUCCCCGCGGCUCCCCGGGGAGUUUCGCUUCACACCGCGCUGGCUUCGUGCCCUGCGCGAGGUCCCAGCGCCAGGGGAGCUCGCUGCCGAGGCCAAAGGGGUUGGCAAUUCUGUAGCCUGAAAUCUCUGAAGAACAGAAAACCAAAGAAGACAGAGUAAAAGAGGAGAGAUCUGGGCUCAGGAACUGGAAAGAUUGCCACCAGGACUGAUCCAGGGAUCCCAUCUCCUUGGAUCUGUGAGAAAUUGUAGUAAAAUCAACACAAUUACACAGUCUGAAGCAGCCCAAGUAACUGCUCUCCCAAGAGAAAGCAGCACCUUUUACUCCACCUCCUUAUGACUAUGAGACAACACAGACUGCAAGCAAACAUUACAGACUGGGCUGAAUCCUGCAAUCACAAUGUAGACUCUCACUGAUUUCAAUGGGAAUUUUGUCAGUGUCGGCAGUUCAAGAUCAAGCCUUAUAAAAAUUCGUCAAGGACAAAGUUCAACAUACAACAAUAAAACUAUAGGAAAGAAUAGAGGAAAUUUGAGGAAAAAAGUAUUGAGAAAAUGCAAGUCACAUAAAAGUUUUUAAUGUUAAACUUCAGUGGUGCUCUUUCUACAGUCUUGAUCCUACUUCCAUUACACCAGUGGGUGCAGAAACAUAUCCUGGAUCAACCCACCCCAGGUUUAGAGGAUGCUCAGCCCAAUUUAUUACAAAAACUAUUGUUAGGAACCCAAUAGAGAGAGCUUUUGGUGCCUGGCAUGAAAGUAGAUGAGAGGGAUGCACUAACACAAUGCAAAAGCCCUGACUAAUGGCUCAAGAAAAGGAAUGUCAGCACAAAACGUUCAGCAUGAAAUAGUUUUUGUUAUUGAGACAAUUAUAACAACAAGAUGAACCCAACCUUCUGGUUUCUGUACUAUAUAUUACAAGUAGCUACUUUAUGGGUGACUUUUUAUUGCGCUUUUGCCUUGUCAAACAUCCUGAUUAGGCUUAUUUCCGAAGCCUGUUUGAACAGCCUGUCACUAUUUGUUUAAGUUUCAAACCUGUUUUAAAUAAACACAUGCCCAUUUUAUGUAUUAAAACAACAGAAGAGGGGGGCCUGCCCCCUGUUCCUAGUGAAAACUGCUUUUAAUGCCAAGAGAACUCUAAACUGUAUACAGAAUGUUCCAUAAGUUAGGUCUCUUUCUAUGUAUAUGUACAUUAGUACUUGGACUUUCGUAAUCUAAAUUGAUCUGA